GACGAACGCUGGCGGCGUGCSUAACACAUGCAAGUCGAACGGAGAAUUUUAAUAAGCUUGCUUAGAGGAAUUUUUAGUGGCGGACGGGUGAGUAACGCGUGGGUAACCUACCCAUAAAAUCGGGACAACCCUUGGAAACGAGGGCUAAUACCGAAUAAGCUUUAGGCUUGGCAUCAAGCUUAAAGAAAAGGUGGCCUCUGAAAAUGAUACCGAUUAUGGAUGGACCCGCGUCUGAUUAGCUAGUUGGUGGGGUAAAGGCCUACCAAGGCGACGAUCAGUAGCCGGCCUGAGAGGGUGAACGGCCACACUGGGACUGAGACACGGCCCAGACUCCUACGGGAGGCAGCAGUGGGGAAUCUUCCGCAAUGGACGAAAGUCUGACGGASCAACSCCGCGUGUAUGAUGAAGGUCUUCGGAUUGUAAAGUACUGUCUUUGGGAAGAAUGAUUGGUUUGGAAAUAUUGAGCCAAUAUGACGGUACCCAAGGAGGAAGCCCCGGCUAACUACGUGCCAGCAGCCGCGGUAAUACGUAGGGGGCAAGCGUUGUCCGGAAUUAUUGGGCGUAAAGGGCGCGUAGGCGGAUGUUUAAGUCCGGUGUGAAAGAUCAGGGCUCAACCCUGAGAGUGCAUUGGAAACUGGGCAUCUUGAGGACAGGAGAGGAAAGUGGAACUCCUANUGUANCGGUGAAAUGCGUANAUAUUAGGAGGACCUCCAGUGGCGAAGGCCACUUUUUGGACUGUAACUGACGCUGAGGCCCCAAAGCUU
rnacentral:rRNA from 1 species